rnacentral:rRNA from 1 species
GGCGGCGCGCCUAACACAUGCAAGUCGAACGAGAAAGGGGAGCAAUCCCUGAGUACAGUGGCGUACGGGUGAGUAACACGUGGGUAAUCUGCCCUUUGGUGGGGAAUAACCCUGGGAAACCGGGGCUAAUACCGCAUAAGUCCGAGAGGAGAAAGCAGCAAUGCGCCGAAGGAGGAGCCCGCGGCCGAUUAGCUAGUUGGUAGGGUAAAAGCCUACCAAGGCAAAGAUCGGUAGCCGGCCUGAGAGGGCACACGGCCACACUGGCACUGAAACACGGGCCAGACUCCUACGGGAGGCAGCAGUGGGGAAUCUUGCACAAUGGGGGAAACCCUGAUGCAGCGACGCCGCGUGAGCGAUGAAGCCCUUCGGGGUGUAAAGCUCUUUCGGCAGGGAAGAUGAUGACGGUACCUGCAGAAGCAGCUGCGGCUAACUACGUGCCAGCAGCCGCGGUAAUACGUAGGCAGCAAGCGUUGUUCGGAGUUACUGGGCGUAAAGGGUGUGUANGCGGUUUGGUAAGUCUGGUGUGAAAUCUCCCG